rnacentral:lncRNA from 1 species
CGGCGAAGGCCUAAUAAGUUGGCAUCCUUCUUAAUAUCCUGACUUGACACUUCCAUGCAGUAAAAUCCUUCCAAAGAAUCUAACACUAAACAUGCAGCAUCAGGAGAAGCUUUUAAUGCAUGUGGUAUUUCUUCCCUUAUAGCAGCAAGGUUCUUACGGUUAUCAGAUAUGAAUUUGUGAAGUCCAGAGACAUCCAUCUCUUUACAAAGUUUUACCAACUCUGGAUAAGAGAUCGAUUCCAAAUUUCCAUUUCCAGGAGAAAGUUUCACAUCUUCUACAAGACCUUCCGUCACAUUAGAAAUAGCAUCCAUCGGUUUCUCUUCCACGUCUGAUGUACCAUGACCCCCAUUAGAGACAAUGGCCAAAUCUUUUUGUGAAACCUUCCUGUGCUUUUCUCGAGCAUUUAAAAUGGCAAAUGUGGCAGCAUCUCUUUUCUCUUGAAGCCUCUGCAAUGUGGCUUGCUCCUUGGCAAAAACAGCUUCUUCCUGCUUCUUCAACAUUUCACGAGCUUUCAUUGUUUUGUUCUCAAACACUUUCUCAUGAUCUUCUAAUUCAUGAAAGCGUCUCUUCAAAGAUUUCUCAAGCCCGUGAAAAUGUUCCUCAAGUUCUUUCCAUUUCAUGUUAAGAGUAACAGCUCGAUAACUUUCAAGUUCAGCAAAUGCCUUCUGCAGCUGUCGUAUCUUCGAAGAUGUGGAAUCCAUCAGUGUGGCAACUGAAUCUGUUUCUUCCAUUGCUAAGAAGCUGAAAAAGAUAUGAUAUGGAAACAAAUACUUAAUUUCAGCUUGCGAAGGCAUGAACCAUGGUUAAUAGUAUACACUACACACUCAUAAUCCUUUGAAAACAAGGCCGGCAAUGUAUAAUUUUAGGGCUUUCGAAUUUGAGGUUUAUAUAACUCAUAAAUUCCUAUUUUUAAGUCAAGAACUAGGUUUCUGUACAGAUUUGUUCCAAUCUUCUGUCACAGUAUACAAUGUAACAAAAAUAAGAUCAGUUUCUUCAUCUCUCAAUGGUAUUCUCAAUUACUUAGUUUAAUCAGGGUUCUAACUUCAAAUAGCAUAAAUAUUUAUUUAUCCAUUUCUAAAAUUAUACACAUCCUAUGUGUCUCUAUUCACUCUUUAUAAGGUGAAUUACUAACUAUGAAGGACUAACACAAACACAGGACACGCCGCUCAUAUAUAGACACCGAUACUAAUUUAAAAAUUGAAAGUAAUUGAAUGUAACACAUGUUUCAGUGUCGGACACCAACACAUGUUAAACACACGACACUGUCGAUGUUGCAUUGGUUACUAAUUAUAAAUAAAGCAUCAUAAUAACUAAUACAAACUUAAAACAAAAUAAAAUAAAAUAAAACCAUGAAGUACUUAAAGAAAUUAAAAAAAUUCCAUACAACUCUUUAUGGAUAAAAAUGGGAGAAGCUAGCAAUAGUGACACAUUAGCUAAAUUAUCAAGAUAGAAUCAUAAUCACUAUUUAUGACAUCAUAUUUAAAUAACCCUUCACUAAUUUCUUGCCUAGUAGCUAAAAAAUGGUUCAUGCAUCAAACAGAACAGAGUUUGUAAAAUAUUUAACAAACAAAAUAUCUAGAUCCAAACCUUUAGAGCAACAAUUACAAAAACUCUAAAAAAAGGGAACAGGGGCGAAAUCGGCAAAACAUUUCCGCUCAACAGUAAUACUAUAAACAGCUGAAAUCUUAAAAAUCAGAGAGUAAUAGAUUUCUAGAAAAUAAAAAAAACUAUGCAGUGCAGUGCAGUAAAUGUGUGGAAUGGAAUGGAAUAAAAAAAACGGACAAGAAACGUGGAUAGAAUCAGAAUAGAAUUAUGGUCAACAUAAGCAAACAAAGCCGAUCUAAACCGACAGCAAGAAAACAAAAUAACAGAAAAAUAAAAUAGAGAGAGAGAGAAAAGAAUAAUUACCUGAUUGAUCUGAAAGAAACUACUACUAAAACACAGAGAGAGAGUUAUCACUCCAUUUUUCUGUGUGUAACCCUCCUCACAUCAGAGAGAGAGAGAGAGAGAAUUGAUAGAGAAGGUUGAAGAAGAAGAUGGAGAAGAAAAAGUAAGAGAGAGAGAGAGAGAGAGUGUGUGGUGUUUGUUUGAUUAAAUUUAAACAAAAGCUGACUCUGUUGUUUCACACUUGUUUCCUUUUUUAAAAUUUAAAAAGAAAUGUUUUUUCAAGUUCCGUUUCCGUUUACUACUACCAACUGCAUGCUACAGAGUUAGUUAGCUGUAUGCAUGAUUGCAUGUGAGUGAGUGUGAUAAACAAAAAAACAUACAUUCUGAUUCUUCUCGGAACUUGUUGCCUCGUAUACGUGUACUACUACUCUACUAGUCUCUCUUAUCGUGAUUGUACGCAACAAAUACUUCAAUUUUUCCAAAUUAAGUGUAUUAUACUUUGACAUAUUUAUGGCUAAUAUACUUCAAUGAAUAUUUUUAAAAUAUCAAAUUUUUAUAAUUUUUUUUUAAUAAAAUUCUUUAUUCAAAACAAACUAUCAUAAAGGUAUAUGCCAAGAAGACCCUUUAACUAAAUAUACUUAACAAACUUACUUGUUGGUCCUUUUGUUUCCUUACCUAAUCCCUUUUUCUAUCCUACAUAAGCUUAUUAAUCUUUUUUAAUAAACAAUUUAUUGGUUUUUUAUUGUUCUUUCCUUUUAAGAAAAAUAUUAGUUUUCUUUAAUGAUGGUGUGGUGUAAAUCAGAUAUCUUUCACACACAACCAACACAUUGAUAUAAAUUAUUAACAUGUUAAGAGGUCCAAUAAUAAAUUUUUAGAGAUCUAUUUAGAAAUUUCAAAUAAUUUAGGGACCUCGCGAUAGCUAGUAUUAAACUUCAAAAUAUAUUUUUUUUAGCGGUACACUUUAUUAUAUUUUGAAUAAUAAUUAUAUUUAUUAAAACUAUCUCAACUACUCUUAAUAAAUUAUAUUUCACCUAACCUCUACUAGUAUAAAGACAUUUUAAUAAAACAAAAAAUAUAUACUAAUUUUAAAAUUGAAUACAAAUAAUAUUAUUUGAAGUCUUAUGCAUAGCUUAGCACAUUAUUUACUUAAAAAAUGAAUAUAAUUAUUGACCUUUAGUCUUUAACAAGUUGUUUUACUAUAAAAUGUUUAUUCUUUAACAAGUUGUUUUACUAUAAAAUGUUUAUAAAUAAUCACUAUCUAAAAGAGUGUACAUUAUCAAGUUUGGGCAUGCUACAUAUUAAUUAAAUCUCUUGAAAAGAGUUUGACGCAUCUAAAUCGAAGAAUAUUUUAGAGAUUAGUUUUGCAAUUAGUUGGUUUAAAAAAAAUAUUAUAGUGAAACAGGAGAAGUAACUAAAAACACUCCAUGAUAUAAGAAAAUGAAGCACUAUAUGAUAUUUUUCCACACCUACUUUUUUGCUCACCACCACCGCUAUUCGUAUAACAUGCUACAUAAAUUUCUUCUUUUUUUUUAAUAUAUCCGGAUGUUCUAGCUCAACUGACAAAAUGCUGAAAUUGUUAGGUCAGAUGCCAUGACCGGAGUUCGAACCCCGGUAUUUUCACUUAUGUAUGUGAGUUUAUAAUGGCUUUGCCAUUUGUCUAUCUACCCAAAAAAAAAACUUUUUUUUUAUUUUUUACUCACAAAAUUGCAUAAACUUGGUUUUAAAAAAUAAUAGGUGAAUAAGGUGAUACUUUCUCUGAUAUACUUUUUUAGACAGAACAUUUUCUAAUACUUAUUUUCAUCAUACUCUCUUUUACCAAUUAAAAUAUAAAUAAAUCUCAAUUAACUAUAUAGAUCCUACAUCAUGUUAAAAAAACCUACAUAAAAUUGGGUCUAGAGGCUCGUUGAACUCAAACCACUGUGCGUCAUUAGUCAACUCCUUAUAAAUCUUUGGUUGGCAAAUUCAUAUGAUUUUCAAUUGAUAAAGAAGUGUGUUGCAAAGCAAUACAUACUACUACUACUGGCACAAUUCUUUAGUUUUUACUAGUAAAAUACUUGUGUAUGGUUGGGUACGGUAACGAUGCAUAUUUGUGACAAAGUAAUGCACUGAAAUGUUGUAUCUUAACCAUUCCUUAAUGUAUUAACCCCUUUACCUACCUAAUCCAACUACAUCAUGUUUCUCAAAUUUUAUUUCCCACCUACUAAUCCAAAAUUAAUCCACGUUAUUCAAGGUCAAGUCAAGUGUAACCUGCCUGAGGUUUACGACUAUACCUAGACACACUUAUACCACACAAAAAGGAGAAUCAAUUCAUGCAGAUGAUAAUGGUGUUCUAAGAGUUCCUUAAACUGAUAUGCUUUUCAACUGACAAAAAUGCAGUUAUUUAAAAGCAUCGACAAUCCCCGUGAGCUUAGCUCAAUUAGUAGGGAUAUUGCAUAUUAUAUGUAAAUGCUGAAGUUUGGAUCCCGAAUAUCCCACUUCCACAUUUAAAAUAUAUGAACUCCAGCCACUGGACUACUUGACAAAAAAAAAAAAAACAUCUGACAAACAAAUUAAAGAGGAAAAAUACACUGCAAGUACAAACAAAGACAACAAAGUAAGCUUGUACAAAACGAGAACAUAACAGAGUGGAUACAUUAGAGGAUAAGUAUAUCUUCUAGCGCCAAAGUUAAAUUUUAACAUAACAUUUCACAUGUUUAAGGGAUUCUUGAAGACUACAUUUAUAAAGUACAACAUACAACAGCUUAAGGGUUAAGACUUAAGACUAAAUAUUAAUAGGGACCAUAGUUAUCAGUUCACCGUCUCUCUAAUUAGUGGAGAUAUGUAGCUUGAUAUUGGUAGCCAUUUCCAAAGUAAGUUCCAGGAUUAGGAGAGACGUUAUAGGUUGCAGAAGCCAGGAAAGGGGCACAGUGAUUUUCAGUUGGUGCAGGGUACAUGUAAGGGCGGUCAUACACGUAUUGAGGGUACCUGUCAGCAACUCUACCAUAGGAAGUUUUGUCAAAAGGAAUGUUAGUGACACGGGGACCAUAUCCAGCACCAUUAGCACGGGGUCUUUUGGGUUGAGGCUUUGUCGCUUCAGUUUCCCUCUUCUUAUCGGCCUUGGCCUUCUCUAGUUGGAUCAUUCGUUUCUGGAGAGAAUCGAUUGGAUACUGCUCCUCAAGUUUAUGUUCUUCAAUGCAUUUGAUUACGGCCUUAAGAGCAAACAGCUCUCUUUCAUUAACAUCAAGCUGAGACAAUAGCAAGUCAUUAGAAAUAUUGACACAUAUUUCCAUAAUCAAACAUAAAGAUGAAUAUUGAAGAUAGGCAAUAUUGUAGUUAUUUUGGAGCAUAAAAAUAAGGACCCAACAAAAACACCAAAUAAAUGCUUCUCUACUCUACAUGCAUUUGAUGCAUCCUUAAGGCAAUUCAAGAUGAUAAUUGAUAGAGAAUGUCUUCUAUCAUUUUUUCACUACUGCAUUUUUGGAAUCAAACAUUUUUGUCCCCAUUCUUCCAAUUGCAUUAGUGUGGCACAUUCCACAUACUUCAACCACAGACAGUAGUUAGCCAGAGUCUCUUGCCAUUAUAUCUACUAAAAGAAUGAGAUUGUGGACCACCUUUUCCUGGUGGCCAUACAACAGAUACUGGCAAACAGCUUAUGUUAUCUACAUAAUCACUGCCUGUCCCCACAGCCACAGAAGCUACCAACCACAAUAGCAUAGAGCUUCUAAGUUCUAUAAAUCACUGUGAUGGAAUCUGAGAGCCAGCCAAACCACCGAUUUGAAAGGAGUGCACUAGACCGCAUAAAAAUAGCAGGAAUAACUGCCUGAUGUAAGUUAGACUAGGAAAUAACUAGUGGCAGAACUACUUAAUGGCAGUCAUGAUUAGAAACGUCAUUGUUAGCAGUAUACGUGAUAGUAGGGUGUGUGUGCAUCAUGUAUGUGACGUUGUGCUCUAUUGUAGGCAGAGAAUACUAUCUGUAGGAGACUUUGAACUCUGGGGACAGCAAGUGUAUUGCAGUACUGUGCGUGGUUUCUGGGCAUGACGAUAUAACUAUUUGGUUAUCUCUAGUGCACCCACAUUAUCUUCGAGAUGAUUGAGAAACCCACAAUAUGACCCUAGCAACUCAACUUAAAGCAAAGAAAACUGAGUCAAUCCACAAAUGAAAUUAGGCUGGCUCUUUUUACGGCUUCCUCUGUUCUUUAACAAAUGGACAGCCAGUCUUUCACUUUCCACUAGGUGAGGUUGACUACAUAGAUCAUCAGGGUCCAUAAUGUCCUACAUUGAAUAAUGUCAAUGGAUGGAUUGUAAAAUGUCCUCCAUUCCUCUAUAUUUUAUUAAUAGAUUAUCCUUCGUCUAAUCUACCCUCCUUCUAGUGCUUCUAUAGGUCUCCUACGCACAUGUCCAAACCACCCAAGGCAAGGCCUCACCAACUUAUUUGCAAUACUACUACCCCAAAUUUCUCUCAAAUACUUUAUUCCUAAUCCUAUCUUAUCUUGUAUGACCACUCAUCCUUCAUAGCAUUCUCCUGUCUAACUGAAUUGACUUUCUUAUAGGCUCUAUACUUCUAAAAAUUCAAUCCUAUACAUUAAUACAGGUCUUAUAACUGUGUUAAAAUAUUAUUUUUAGUAUAAGUGAGGCACCUUUUCAUCAAAAAUUAUAUCUUGAGGCACUCCUGCAUGAAUCCUAUGAUUUACAUCUACUAUUCCCCAUCAUUUGGCAUGAUGAACCCAAGAACAUUAACCUGCACAAGUUGUGAUGUGGAUUGUGGUAUGUUAUCUAAUUUUCAUCUCUAAGCUAGAACUAGCAUACCUCCCGCAAAACUUACAUUCCAUAUACUCUACUUUACUGCUACAUGAACUUAUAUUCCAUAUACUCUAUUUUACAUGACAUGAAUAAACUCAGUCAAAGGCUUAUGUUGUGAAGUGUUACACAAGUCCCCGUGAAUAUAGGUAGAUAUGUAUUAUGCCCUGUCACAACAGAGACCUUUGGGAUUGAAGAGCAGACAUUGCAUAAAUCCUUCUACCUUGUGUUGAAUUCAACUUUUACAUAGAAAAAUGGGUUUGGUAACUGGUAAGAAUCAAACUCUAGACCACUAUAUCAUAGAAUCUCCAAUACCAUGGCAUGAACCAACUCUUCAAAAACUAUACUUUUAGGAGAAAACUCAUGAAUAGUUUUACAUCCACAAGAGAAUCCAAUAGAAAAAUCGUGAAUGUUUUCAUAACAUGCCAAACAAUUGCACAUUACUGUCGCAAAUUCUCAACAUGAGCACCUCCCAUUAACCAUAGUGGAGUAGAAGCACGUUAAAAUUAGGAAACAGUUCCUAAGAUCACUCCUCCAUAAGAAGAGCACCUGAUUGGACAAUAUAUCCCCACAAUAUUCUAAAAAUAUUAUAAUACAAACAUUCCUUUGCAACUAACAACCUUAAUAUUUCAUAUUGACAAUAAAACUGUUAGACAACUGACGACCUCAAUUACAACUGGACAAACAGGUAAAAAAACUAUACAAUAGUUGACAGCACGUGUUCAAAUCAUGAAUAGAAAACAACAGUAGGAAUGAUUACUUACCUGUGCAGUGGGAGAUGAGUUACCACUCUUGACUGGAGAAGAAGUUUUCUUAGCAUCAUUCAGGUAAGACUUAAGCAGAGGAAUAGGUGAGAACUGAUCUGUAAGAUCAAAUGCAAAAGCCAAGUUAACAGCAUCAAUUUGCCUCCCAUUCUUUACCAAAACUUUAAUCACACCUGCACAUCAAAAGUAAAAUGAAUCAUUUAAAGAAACCCAAGGAAACAACUUUUUCAUAAUGUAAAUCUGGAAACAUAUCUAAAUAAAAAUGAACAUGAGAUAAUUGGAUGAAAACUUGGUGCAUAAAAUAAAAGUAAGAGAACUAAUCCACACCAGGCAUCUUCUCCGACAACCCAAGGCAUCGGCAUAAAUCAGCAGUUUGGCGACGCCGAGAUACCAUUGGAAUUAGCCUGGAUAACUCCUCCUCAUUAAAAUCAGAGGCAAUACCAAAACUAGCUAGAAGUUGCAAAAAGGCAUGAGCCUCCAAGGAAUUCCCAUUGCUAGCAUCCAUGUCAAGAUCAUCCAAUCUCGGUUUCCACUCUUCAGCAACUGCCUUUGCCCUAUCCUUGAUAUCUUUGGAAAUCACAUUAGAAACAGAACCCAAAUUGGUCAGGAAAUCACUUAGACAUUCUAGCAACAUGAUACUGGUUCUGCGAAGACCCAGCAAGUUAGCAUCCUUCUUUAUAUCCUGACUUGACACUUCCGUACAAUAAAAUCCUUCCAAAGAAUCUAAAACUAGACAGCCAGCAUUGGGGGCAGCUCUUAAUGCAAGUGGUAUUUCCUCCCUUACAGCAGCAAGGUUCUUACGGUUGUCAGAUAUAAAUUUGUGAAGUCCAGCAGCAUCCAUCUCUUUGCAUAGUUUUACCAACUCCGGAUAAGACAUCAUGUCCACACUUACAUUUGCAGGAGAAAGUUU